GUCCACGCCCUAAACGAUGUCAACUAGGUGUUGGGAGGGUAAACCUUUUAGUACAGGAGCUAACGCGUGAAGUUGACCGCCUGGGGAGUACGGCCGCAAGGUUAAAACUCAAAGGAAUUGACGGGGACCCGAACAAGCGGUGGAUGAUGUGGAUUAAUUCGAUGCAACGCGAAAACCUUACCUACCCUUGACAUGUCCGGAAGCCCUUAGAGAUUUGGGUGUGCUCGAAAGAGAGCCGGAACACAGGUGCUGCAUGGCUGUCGU
rnacentral:rRNA from 1 species